CUUCUCACUCAAUGUCGAAAAAACAAAGGAGCUGAUCAUGGACUUCAGGAAACAGCAGAGGGAGCACGCCCCUAUCCACAUCGACAGGACCACAGUGAAGCAGGUGGAAAGCUUCAAGUUCCUCAGCAUACACAUUUUUUUUAAACAUUUUUAUUUCACCUUUAUUUAACCAGGUAGGCCAGUUGAGAACAAGUCCUUUAUUUAACCAGGUAGGCCAGUUGAGAACAAGUCCUUUAUUUAACCAGGUAGGCCAGUUGAGAACAAGUUCUCAUUUACAACUGCGACCUGGCCAAGAUAAAGCAAAGCAGUGCAACACAAACAACAACACAGAGUAACACAUAGAAUAAACAAACAUACCGUCAAUAAUACAACAGAAAAAGUCUAUAAACAGUGUGUGCAAAUGAGGUAGGAUAACGGAGGUAGGGCAAUAAAUAGGCCAUAGUGGCAAAAUAAUUGCAAUAUAGCAAUUAAACACUGGAGUGAUAGAUGUGCAGAAGAUGAGUGUACAAGUAGAGAUACUGGGGUGCAAAGGAGCAAAAUAAAUAAAAUAACAGUAUGGGGAUGAGGUAGUUGGAUGGGCUAUGUACAGGUGCAGUGACGAUCUGAAAUGGUCCACCCACACAGACAGUGUGGUGAAGAAGACAUAACAGCACCUCUUCAACCCCAGGAGGCUGAAGAAAUUUGUCUUGGCACCUAAACCCCUCACAAACUUUUACAGAUGCACAAUUGACAGUAUCCUGUCAGGCUGUAUCACCGCCUGGUAUGGCAACUGUACCGCAGGGCUCUCAAGAGGGUGGUGCGGUCUGCCUAAUGCAUCACCUGGGGAAAACUACCUGCCCUCCAGGACACCUAAAGCACCCGAUGUCACAGGAAGGCCUAAAAGAUAAUCAAGGACAACAACCACCCGAGCCACUGCCUGUUCACCCCACUAUCAUCCAGAAGUGUUUUGCUGUAGCUGAGCAUGACGAUGAGUCCAGGGAAGAAGUAGCAGAGGCCAAGUGAAGGCCACAUUCCACAAGAUCUCCCCAAUUUGGUCCGGCCACAUCAGAGUACAGAUAAUAUCAUAUUAUGCACCUCUCUCUGUGGAAGACGAAUACCAACAACAAGUGUAAGGGCUCGAUUCAAUCUGUAUCGCUGAAGCUCUUAUAGAUUGCACAAU
rnacentral:lncRNA from 1 species